GUUUUGUGUGAAGCUCCUUGGUUUGCUGAUUGCAGGAUUAUUACUUAUUCCUGAAAGCUAUGCUACAUACGAUAAAAUAGAGUGUCACGAAUGUGACCGAAUGGCAGAUCACUGUGCUUUUCGUUGUCAAUGGCAACCAACAUAUGCUAAAUUAUAUUAUUGUGACGAUCAUUGUACUCGACGAAACCUAGCUUGUCAAUCCCGUUGUAAGAGGAGAAAUGGUCAGCCAUUACUUGUACAAAACGUACCAAUUGCCAGGAAAAUUGGAGGCGCAGCGGCAAAGAGGCAGCCAGGAAGAAUAAGUGAGGAAGAUAUUAAACAGUACUACCAGCACCGAAAAUAAAGACAAUUUAUUGUCGAUGUGAAAGGAAGUAGAAAGAGGGACCAAUCAUUUAACGAAUUCAACCUUAUUUGGCUAUCUAUCAUUUCAAACAUCACAGUAUGAAAGGGAUAUUGAAAUUAAUAAAGCAA
rnacentral:lncRNA from 1 species